rnacentral:sRNA from 1 species
AAUUGAACUAGGUCCGCUUUGCCACGUGGCGCUGCAAAAUAACAUUUUAGAAAUAAAAGGCUCUCUUAGAAUUGCAAAGCUUAUUAAAUUUUUGGACUCAGAAGUUGUGUGCAUCUUGGCUGUAGUUUCAGGGCUACUGCAUCUACAUUAAAUAAAAUGAUGUUCCCCAUUAUACGUUCAACACUGAAGCUACUAGGUAUUUUGUCAGCAAUCAUGGCGUUGCCAGAUUUCGAUUGGAAUCGUCCGGGAUGCAAUGAAGCAUUUGAUGUCUGGAUUGGCUGUCGCCACAAUUGCCAUUAUCAAUAUUUCAACAUGAAUUUAGCAUGCUUGACACAAACAGAAAGAUGUAUUAGAGCAGCUUAUAGACUGAUGGAGAGUGGAUGCCAGCAGUUUGACGAUACUUCGUUUGAACCUCGAGAGUGCAGAAGUCGAACACUUUAUAACAGUUUUGAUAGACUUUGUAUCCAUCAUAUUGGAUAAACAGAAAAAUAAAUGAUUAAAGAUCUGUAAAA